rnacentral:rRNA from 1 species
UACGUAGGGUGCAAGCGUUGUCCGGAAUUAUUGGGCGUAAAGAGCUCGUAGGCGGUUCGUCGCGUCGGCUGUGAAAUCCCGAGGCUCAACCUCGGGUCUGCAGUCGAUACGGGCGGACUGGAGUUCGGCAGGGGAGACUGGAAUUCCUGGUGUAGCGGUGAAAUGCGCAGAUAUCAGGAGGAACACCGGUGGCGAAGGCGGGUCUCUGGGCCGACACUGACGCUCAUGCACGAAAGCGUGGGGAGCAAACAGG